rnacentral:rRNA from 1 species
CCUACGGGUGGCUGCAGUGAGGAAUAUUGGUCAAUGGACGAGAGUCUGAACCAGCCAAGUAGCGUGAAGGAUGACUGCCCUAUGGGUUGUAAACUUCUUUUAUAUGGGAAUAAAAUGUUCCACGUGUGGGAUUUUGUAUGUACCAUAUGAAAAAGGAUCGGCUAACUCCGUGCCAGCAGCCGCGGUAAUACGGAGGAUCUGAGCGUUAUCCUGAUUUAUUGGGUUUAAAGGGAGCGUAGGUGGAUUGUUAAGUCAGUUGUGAAAGUUUGCGGCUCAACCGUAAAAUUGCAGUUGAAACUGGCAGUCUUGAGUACAGUAGAGGUGGGCGGAAUUCGUGGUGUAGCGGUGAAAUGCUUAGAUAUCACGAAGAACUCCGAUUGCGAAGGCAGUUCACUGGACUGCAACUGACACUGAGGCUCGAAAGUGUGGGUAUCAAACAGGAUUAGAUACCCGGGUAGUC